rnacentral:lncRNA from 1 species
AACUACAACCCUGAGGAGGAGGACGCGUCGGUGCUGUGGACGGAGAGCCGCGACGUGGGCAAUGGCUUCCGCUGCAUCCGCAUGGUGAACAACAUCUACCUCAACUUGGACGCCUUCCAUGGCGACAAGGCCCACGGCGGCGUCCGCGACGGCACCACCGUCGUGCUCUGGGAGUGGGCCAAGGGAGACAACCAGCGCUGGAAGAUCGUGCCAUGGUGUAAGUAUUUAAUGAAGUCCAUUGGAAUGAAGCUUCAAUAUAAUUGACCGGCCAGUGCGUAAUUGCAAUGACCUGGCUAGCUACCUCUCAUCAAUUUGUUUAUAUAUGCAGAGAUGAAGCCAAAAGUGAGACGUUGAGAGGAUCGACCGGAGGAACCUGCUUGCUCUGCUGCUCUUGUGUCAUCCGCCCGCUUCUUCAUGUUGAUCUUCUCUUUUUUCGCAUCUGUCGGUUCUGAAUAACAAACAGUUCCCCAGCAGCGACGAGCAUGUCAGUCAGUCGUGUCGCUCCGUCCUUCGUUGCUGUCUGUCUUGCUGCUGCGCCUUAUGUUUGAUCUUCUGAUAGACUCCAUUAUAUUUGGGAGGUUGUUGAUGAAGAGUUUGAGACCUUGCCGGCCGAUUCAUGUCGCCUCUAUCUCGUUUGUGGUGUGAGACGUGAGAUGGUAGUCGAGUUGUCUGCGUCUUUAUUUGUUUCCUGAUGAGCAAUCUACUACCGUACUGCAUUUGAUUUGACGUUUGAUCUUGGGCUCCCUCUUUGUUUUUUCUGCCCUGUCACCUAAUACUGCGACUAGUCCUACUGUACUAGAUAAUGUGCAUUAAUGCGCAGAGUUUCCAAGCGUUGAUUCUGAUGCUGUUGAUGGUUUAGGACGAAAGGGACUUCACCUUGUCAUUUUCCAUGCCGCCCAGCACGUACCAUGUCGCUGUAUUGUAGUGUAUUUCAGUCCAAUCCUUAACGUCGAAGCAUAUCAAGUCUGUCUUGGCUGAUGUGGUAUUAACAAUGCAGAUGCAGUGCUCCCAAGGUAGUACUAAUGCUCUGCAACUAAAAAUAAAAUUUCUCUGACAGAUAAGCAAACCUGCAGGUGGUUGAUAAAAUAAAGCACGCACGACGAGAUCCCGGAGAUGUUAAAGAAAGCAUCGUACCAUUUACCUUCUUGGAGCUAUCCAUGUAGGCCAAAUUCCAUCGGUCUUGGUCCAGUUAGAAAAUAAAAAAUAAAAUACGACGGCAAAAAUGGCCCAUGCGAGCGAGGAUGACGGCCUAAAAGUUUGACGACGGGUGUGCCAAUUAAGCUGCUUGUUAAUGAAAUACUACUAGUCUACUUAUUGAUACGCCAUUGUGAUGACACCAAGAAUUGAUAAAUCCUAUGUAAGACGAGACGAGGUAUCAUGAGUUAGUUGGUGAUCGACGUAUAUACACCGAUACUUUAUCGUGUUGUUUGUCACAGGGAGAUGGAGUUGGAGGACGCGCUUUAUUUAAGGGUUUUUUUCCUCGAGACUAAACUUCGUGCCAUCGCAUCGAAUGUUUGGACACCAAUUAUAAGCAUUAAAUAUAGAUUAAUUAUAAAAUCCAUUACAUAAAUGGAGGCUAAUUCGCGAGACGAAUCCAUUAAACCUAAUUAGUCUAUGAUUUGAUAAUGUUGUGCUACACUAAAUGUAGGCUAAUGAUGGAUCAAUUAGGCUUAAUAGAUUUGCAUCAUGAAUUAGCCCUUAUUUAUUUAUACACUUAGUUUUACAGUUAGCUCAUAUUUAAUCCUUCUAAUUAGCAUUAAAUAUCUAAUGUGAUCCGAAGUAAAAAUUAAUCUCUAGAUCAAGCACCCGCUUAGAUCGGAAGAUCUCAACAGGAACCUGCAUGCCUACCUAAUGAUCCGCGUCCAAGAAGCGGACGAGAGCACGCCUUUCUCCCAAAGUCAAAUUAGUUGGUGCCAUUGAAUUGCUCCAAGACUACCUUCGCCUAAUCACGCCAGCCAGAGCAACCAAGCUCACCGUUGCACUUGCACAAGCACAACAACGCGGUGCCUUUUCGCAAUGUUCGCAGUAGGUCAGUCACCAACAGCGAGACUCGUUUAAAACUGAGGCUAGAUGUCAAUAGCCUACGACGUCUUUAGUGGAGGAUGUGAUGUGAGUUAGAUCUAGCCACAAGACAGAUACAGGCAGUAGUAACAGCUAGGGAUGAAAAUGUAAAUACGGAUAUUCAAAAUAUCCGAUAUCUAUAUCCGCUUAAACAUUAACAUGAAUAUCCGUAUCCAUAUUCGAAUAUUCAAAUUUAGGGUGCGUUUGACAAAGCUCUCAGAGCUGAUUUUCUGCUAAAUUCAGUAGGAGCUCUGCAAAAUAAUUUUUCAGAGAGAAGUGAUUAUAUGCUGAUACUGUGGAGUGAUUUUUUGAAUGAACUAAGCGGCUGGGAGCUGAAAAAGUAUCUUCUCCUGAUUCUGUGAAGUGAUUCCCAUCUUAAUUUUAAGAGUUUAUACUAGAGAAUAAAAAAAUCACCUUCAGCCAGAUAUUAUUUCUAUCAUAGAAUCAGCUCCCAUAGAGAAUUAGGAUCAGUUGGAGCUCUACCAAACAGGCCCUUAGUGUGGUAGCAAAGGGUACGUCCGAAUCCGAUUUUCAUUAUUUUUCUCUAUCUGAUUUCACAUCCGUAUUCGACAAUAUCACGUUACUAUCCAAUCCAUUUUUAGUAAAACUAUUUUAAAAGUUAUAUUUAUUUUCCAUAACCAAUGUUAUUAAUUUUUAUAAUAAAGUUAUAAAAAAUUAAGUUUACUCAUAAAUAUUAUUAUUAUUAUUUAUUUAUGAGUGAAAUUACUUUUAUAUAUUUAUUAUAUAUUAAUAUAAAAACUUUAUAUAUUUAUUGAAAAUAUAUUUUAUUUCUAAUUUUAUUUUUUAUAUAUUUAUUUAUUAAAAUAUUUGUUGGUAAAUAAGCUAUUUUUGACAUAGCAUUUAUAUUGUCAUACUUUAGUUUGUAUAUAUAUAAUAAUUUUAUAUUCUAAAACUAUCAAUAAAAAAUAGCUAAAUAUUAUCCUAUAUAUUGAGUAAAUAUCCGAAUUUGAAUCCGAAUCCGAGCCAUCCGUUUUGCAUUCGUAUUCGAGAAUAUCCGAAUUCGUAUCCGUAUUAGAGUUAAAUAUCCGAAUUCGUAUCCGUAUUGGAGUUAAAAUACGGUAAAAGAUGCUAUCUAAAUCGGAUUCGAUGUGUAUGCGUUUCAUGCUUAAUAACUGCCUCGAGGAAACAAGAAACCGCUUGCACCAGACGUUGCUUUCCUCUGCUGGCGACGCGCCCAGAGUUCAAUUCACUCGUUUCUGUUGGAUAGUCUGUAGCUACAGUAGUUUGUACAGGUUCUAGAGUUCAUGUCUGAUCUGCCCAGAGCCAAGGCAACGUUCUGAACCAUACAGAGUUGGUGGGCCUUUUUCACUUUUAAAACUUGGUUGCAGUUGCAGUCUGGCGGGCUCAAGUGCCCGGAAGGAUGUGCUGAUCGGAAUCCAACCUGUGACCUGUUGCCUGUUGGAGCCUUGGAGGAGAAAAAUCAUUCAGCUUUUGAAUCCAUUUUCAUUUUCCACGUGGGAAAUGCACCGCUGUUUCUGAAACUUUUUAGGCACCGGUAAUUCAGACGUCUGAAUGUGAAUUCAGUAUCUUCGCAAAAGGAAAAAAAAUCUAAAUUCAGUAAAUCUGAAGCAUUUUUCCUGUUCUUAUUUAUUUACAUGGAAAUCACUAUCGCUAAGUAAUGCUGUCAUCCUCGUUAUAAGUCAUUUGUUACCACAGCACUGGAUAUUGAAAUAAUUGAUGCACCACUAUGAUGACAUCAGGAUUGAAGAGUAGUUACCUCCUUGCUAAAGAUAAAACGAGUUGGUGAUCCGCAUUGACACCUUUUUCUGCUUGGAGAUGGACACGUUUUAGCUCGAGAUUUCGAGUUUUGGACACGGAGAACGCAUCUGGCAGGCCAGCAUGCAUUGUCUAGCGAAGCAAACAGCAAACCUACCAGACCUGCAUACCAGCGUCCAGAUAACCCCUGCCAGGCUUUGCAUUCAGCAGGCUAGAGCAAGCAAGUUCUUCAAGAAAAAUUGUUUGUUGGUGACCAUGGAAAUAUCAAAUAUAUAUGGAAUUGGUAUUUGGUAACCAAAACCUUCACCUAAUCACACCAGGACAAGGUUCACAGGACGACACAUAGCACGAGCAGCGAGUUCAGUGACAAACUGGCUUAGGUCGUCAUUCAGACCCCAUUUACUGGUUACAGGACAAAUUUCACCAGCUCCCACUGGUAACAGUAAUGGCAUCCGGAGGAAACUGCUUGCACCAACAACCAAUGUUACUGAGCUCUGCUGACGCCGCACCCAGCCAGAGCCAGGUUUCACGCGGCCGGCGGACCAGCCGUUGCUCCGCACAGCACUCCAUCCAGAUGGCAGAUGUUGUGAAUGCUUCACCUGCUUUUGUUGGACGCGGUGGUUGAGAGUUCAGAUGGGCACGGUUCAAACAUCACUCCAAACGGUUCAGAGUUGGCACAAAGCAAAGCUAGUACAAUGCUCACUUCUCUGUGCAAGCAAAACGAUGGCAAGUAUAUAUUUAAUUUUUUUUAUCUUUCAUUUUGAGAAUACACAGCUCUCCUGCGUAUCAUUAUAUUAAGAAGAAAAAUAGAGUAGCAAACUUUACAACGCGGGUCUCAAUGGGCGCAAACUUUAAAUUCUAAUCUUCUUUUAUCAUUCUGAACCAUUUCGCAGAUGGUGACCCAACCCCUCAUGCAGCUGACCGGCGGGAAGAUUCUUAUCAGGUAAGGACCAUUUCGUGGAUUGAGAGAGAAAGAGAGAGAGGGAGAUGUGCUCAUCGGAAUCGAACCACUGUUUUCCAAUGAUGAAAGGAAUGCCGCCUUCUUUUUGGGGGAAAUGCCAUUUCUGAAACUUCUGCACGAGAAAUUCAGUGACCAGGUGUGAAUUCGAUGCAACUUCACCUGCUGGUUUCCUGCCAUGCCUUCCACUGUCCUUUUCAACAUGGCAAACUACAGCGUUCCGAUAUCGUUAUCUACGUUAAGCCUUGCGCAUAGAUCGAUGUGGACAUACAUACGGUAGAGAUAAAAAGGGGCACAAACAAGUGUCAUCCAUGAUCAAAGUAAAGUAGUCAGUUGCUAGUGUAACAGAAAGAUCACAAAACACCACAGCCCAACUUGCGGGGGCCGGCAGGAAUCGUUGUUCUUUGCGGGAAUCAUACAGCGUUGGGUUCACGCUUCCAUCCGCGGCCACUGCCCACUGGUGGGUGAAACAAAGAACAUCUCUGCACAGCAUUUUCUAUUGCUAAUCCAAGGAUUUUAAAAACACGAGCAUACCAUUUCCUUAUAUUGAAAAGACGCAUAUUUCGUAAAGAAAUUUGUCGCCGGUUCUUUGAAAUUGUAUGAAACCAAUGGAGCACGAAACUUCAGAAUCUUCGGUGCAAAGCUGGCUAACAAAAAAAAAAGAACUCCAAAAUAGAACCCACUCCUUACAGAAAUGCUUAGCCUGCAAGGAGGCCAUUCUUCUAGAAGAUACUACUAGUAACCAGACUAGAACGGAGGGUGUGCUGACCGUGUCAUCAACCUGUCACAAUAGAGGCAUGACACUCCAUUCGCAUACAGCUAUUGCGCAAAUGUAGCAAAAGUGCAGAGUACUACUGGCUGGCACUACCUUGAACUGUGCGAUUCACUCAUCCUUUGCAUACAGCUAAUGCAAGCAAAGCAAAACAAAAUUUGUUGAGUACUACCUGGAUUAAUGACACAAUCAUGAGCUGUGCUCCAGUAAUCCUUACACUGAUUCCCAGAUAUCAAACGGCUAUAAUGCAAAACCUGCCAAAUAUUUCUCACCAAACCAGGAUAAAUACACUGAUAGUAAGGAAUCUAACGCGUAGAAUCCUUUUAAUUGGCAUCGAAACAUACGGUGGUGUGACAUUACCGAACUUCCAAACGUUAGCACUUGUCAUCCAAACAGACCUUAUUUGGCCCCAGUCGCCAGCGAUUGCUACUAGCUGCCAAUUACAGCUACAGCGUUUUACUACCGGCCAGGGAUGAGUCAUUUCCUGGUCAUCCAGGCAGCUGUUGGCGUUGGUGUGUGGGAGCCAGCCGUGCCGCUCGCUCGCCGGCGCUAUAAAACGCGGCCGCGGGGCAGCGCCUCUCCUCGCACCCAACCAUCACCUCUCGAGCUCAUCACAGCAGCACAUCGCACAGCGCACUCUCUCUCCAGUCCCCCCCCCCCCCCCCUGCGGGCACGAAGAGAUCGAACAUGUCGUGGUUCGGGCACCACCACCACAACCAGCCGGCUCCCCCGGCGUCGGGCCCCAACCAGGUGUUCAAGAUCUUCUGCCGCGCCAAUGAGAACUACUGCCUCGCCGUCCGCGACGGCGCCGUCGUGCUCGCCCCGGCCAACCCCAAGGACGUCCACCAGCACUGGUACAAGGACAUGCGCUUCAGCACCAGGGUCAAGGACCAGGAGGGCAUGCCGGCCUUCGCGCUCGUCAACAAGGCCACCGGACUCGCCAUCAAGCACUCGCUCGGCCAGUCCCACCCGGUAUUGUUCUGUACUUUGUCAGGUUUUGAUAGAUUGCCAGCAGCAGAGGAGAUCGUCGAUUCGAUCUGAUGCAUGCCUGCAGGUGAAGCUGGCGCCGUUCAACCCUGAGGAGGAGGAGGCGUCGGUGCUGUGGACGGAGAGCAAGGACGUCGGCAAGGGCUUCCGCUGCAUCCGCAUGGUGAACAACACCCGCCUCGGCUUCGACGCCUUCCACGGCGACAAGGACCACGGCGGCGUGCACGACGGCACCACCGUCGUGCUCUGGGAGUUUUGCAAGGGCGAGAACCAGAGCUGGAAGAUCCUGCCCUGGGGCCCCGAGGCGGACUCCCCCGCGGCGGGGCCCGGCAACGCGUCCUUGGGCGGCGUCCCCGUGCACACCGUGCGCGUCUUCUGCAAGGCCGGCGAGGCCGACUACAGCCUGACGGCGCGCAACGGCACCGCGUGCCUGGCGCCCAGCAACCCCCAUGACGAGUACCAGCACUGGAUCAAGGACAUGAGGCACGGCAACCGGGUGAGGGACGAGGAGGGGUACCCGGCCUUCGCGCUCGUCAACAAGGUCACCGGCGAGGCCAUCAAGCACUCCGCCGGCCAGGGCCACCCGGUGAAGCUGGUGCCCUACAACCCGGACUACCAGGACGAGUCCGUGCUGUGGACGGAGAGCCGCGACGUCGGCAACGGCUUCCGCUGCGUGCGCAUGGUGAACAACAUCUACCUCAACUUCGACGCGUUCCACGGCGACAAGGCACACGGCGGCGUCCACGACGGCACCGAGAUCGUGCUCUGGAAGUGGUGCGAGGGCGACAACCAGCGCUGGAAGAUCCUCCCCUGGUGUAAGUAGUGUCCCCCCUUUGCCCUGCAUAUGCCUGAUCAAUGGCCAUGGUCUUCGCCGAACUGUACAACCAUGCCAUUGAUGGCCUGCCUUACAUCCUUUGAAAUCUGAUGUUUUCCAAUCGUUGCUUG